UUCUCUCUCUUAAUUUUGAGAAACAUGUGUACUUUCUCUCUCCAAGUAUUCUGAAACGAAAGCUCGCUCUUUGAAUCGCUCUCGCCGAAAACUCGGAACGAAUUCGGAAACCCUAUCUCUCUCGAUCUCAUCAUUGAUCUACACAAUCACUCUUCUCGCUAAGCUCCACAGUCUCCAUCAAAAUGUCCCUGAUCUACACCGCUUUUAAUCUUCAUUAUAUUUGGCUUUGAACUUUCAUAGAUCUUUGAUUUUCAUCUCUUGCGAUUUUCUAUUAUCAGGUAUCAUAAAAUCACAAGUAACUUUUGAUUUUUUCUUCGUAUUGGAUUUUAUUGCUAGUCUUAACUUCCAAUUUCCUCUCUGAUGUUCUGUAUUACUUUCCUAUCUUUUGAUUGAAUUUGAAUGUUAGGUUAAAGUUUAGCAGUGUCCUUUCAAUGUCAAUGCAUUACUUCCUUAUCGAUUCUGUCUAUGCCUUGAUCAAUGUUUCUAUGCAUUGCUUCAGAAAAUUAUUCUAGAAAAAGAAAUAAUUAAAUAUUGUAAGUUGCAAUGAUUAUAAUAGUUACUAUGUUGAUUCAAUCUAAUAUCAUGUAUUUUCAGUGUGAUUGCAGCAUGAAGAUGGGUAAGACAUCAUCUUUUUGAAAUGUAAGAUUAGAUGAUGGCAGAGCUUUUGCUGAGCUUGGUUUUGAACAUAGUGAAAUGUAAGACACCAUCUAAUUUUUAUUCACUAUGUUCAACAAUACAUCUUAGUCUUACCAGUGCCUUCCCAUGAUGAGCAUUUUUUGAAAGCAAUCAAACUAGUCAACAUUUUGCCAGAGAUGCUUAUGGCUGAUAGUUUUCGAGUGCAGUAUUGUAUAUCUACCUUUAAUUUGUAUUUUAUAAAUGUUACUCUUUUGAGCUAUCAUUUUUAUUGCUCUUUUAUAUUUUUUUUAGUGAUCUGUCAUGUUAUUCUCUCUUGUGAUAGUUUCUUUCAUAUAAAAAAUGACUUUGACAGUACUGAUACAUUUCCCAUCUCCUUCCAAAUAUAGUGACUGGGGACUUUACUUGUCCAUUUUGCUUAAUGCAGUGUGCAAGCUCUAAGGUAUAUGUUGUCGCUUGUACUAUAGUAAUUACUUGUUUGACUCGUAAUUUUAUAAUUAGAGAGGUUGUUGGCCUUUUUGCUUUGUUAGAAGUUAAGAGAAAAAUUCGAAAACUAUUUUUCACGGAAAAGCAUUGGAUUUCAGUAGUUUAUAUACUCAUUCUCUUUAUUUAGCGGAUGAGUCUAUGUAGUUUGUGAUUGGUUUUACACUGUUGAUAAUUCAUUUUGAAUAAACUGGUUUUGUAAUAUUGUUGUUAGCUAAAGGUGAGUUAAAUUAAAGUGUUUUAUUUAUGUUCGGGUAUACUUACUAUGAGUUGAAUAACACUUUUGAGGCUAAAAUAAUUUGCUAUCUCUUCAUGGAAACAAGUCAUCAUCAAUUUACUAUGUUCAUUUUUUUAAUAUUUAUUGAUAGGUAAUAAAUCUAAUAAGCAAUAUGUGGUGUUGUAUUUUUAAUAUUUUUAGUAUAUUUAGAAUUCCAAAUGUAGGGUUUACCUGUUUAGUAUAUUAACCUUUUUUUCUUCUUCAUACUCAAUUUUUUCAGUAUGUUGAUCUUUGUUUGUACGUAACAGGGACACCUCAUUGAUCUUUGUUCAAAGGGAGGUGCAAACAUUACUGAAGUUUGCACUAGCUGUUGCACUUUCUAUUAUCUGAGUAAAUCCUACUAUUUUGGAAGGCCUUUGUGCUUAAAAAUAAAUCCAUUCUCAGGUAUGCCUAAAUGAAGAAACAUGUUUUAUAUUCAUUCACUGUAAGCUUUAUAUUGAUAUCACUUUGUAAGAUUUGUAUGGUUAUUGAUUCAUUUUUGUUUUGUGAUGCUACUACAAUUUGUGUCACUUUUAUAGUGUUAAUUACUUAUAGUGUUACUUAUUGUUCUAUCUCACUAUAGUUGUUUAUUUUCUAUUCUACAUAUAUUUAAUUUGUCCCCUAGCAAUGAAUUGGUUCUUGUGAAAAAGUAAUCUGAAUUUGAGCCAAAGAACUAUAGUGGAUGAAUUUAUAGUGUUUCUCUGUCAUGGAAACAGUUUAUAGUGUUUUUCUCUAUGUAGAAAACUAUCAUCUUAGUAUGUUAUAAUGUAAUUGCUCUAUUUUGAAAGAUAUUUGGCCAAACAGUUGGUGAAGUAAGAAUUGUUUCCGGUAUGCAUGAAUGAAAUGCGGCACCGACUCUAGAAACUGAUGCUUUUAUUGCACUCCUUGGUAGCUACCUGAAUAACUAUGAAAUGGUUUUAGAAUUAAUUAUUGAGUGUGUCUUAUUACAUGUCAAUGCUACUAAAGGAAAAUGUUCUCUUAUAUACUGAAAUUCGCUUUUAUUUUGUUAGUCUGUAAUCCUAUUUCACAUGCCCUGCAUUCUUUCCUCAUGGUUAGAAGAAUACAUAACUAUGGAAGAGCUUAUGGAGAUGAUAACUUGGGCACAGCUUGGAGUUCAUAAAAAACCGGUAACCUUCAGACCUUUGAUGAAACCAAGUUCAACUUCACUAAAGUUGGCCAAGAAGAAAUUCUGUUUCUGUUUGAGGCUAGCAGUGAUGGGGAUGCUUAAUUCUUUCUAAGCACCAAUUGAUGUUGAUAGUUCUCCUAGUUUUGUUGCCAUCAAUGUAUGAUUAUCAGAUUUUAUUUUCUUUGUAGGACCUUUUUGUCAUUUAGGUCAUUGUUUUAAGUUACAGUCUUUAUGUGGCUGCAAUAUGCGGUUGUCGAGUACGAUAUAAAACCAUGCUUGAGGGUUCAGUUGAAAAGUUGUUUAUAUAUAUUUUUUGUUUGCAUAUGUACAAUUUUAACAGGUUAGUCCUAUUGAAUAUGGGCAUGUGCUGCUGAUUCCUCGAAUUUUCGAGUGUUUGCCCCAAAGGAUUGAUCACACGAGCUUUUUGCUUGCCCUUCACAUGGCAGCCGAAGCAGGAAAUUAGUAUUUUCGAUUGGGUUACAACAGCUUGGAGGCGUUUUCCACUAUUAACCAUCUCCACUUCCAGAAAACAAGCUCUUGGAAAAGUGAGUGUUGAGCUUCUGGACAGUCAAGUUAAUCUGGCCGUGUAGGAAAUCAGCGGACACAUGGUGUUAAAGAUGUGGCGGCUCGCACUGGAUAAAGAAGGAUCUCAGAAAGAUGAUACUACUAUGGGAGGCAGUGAUCAAGAUUUGAGCUCCAGCUUUGAAGUAGAAAUUAAUUGGUCUGAGGUAAUCAUUCUGGUUUACAGUUAGUGAGGUGUGUAAAGCAGGGAUGCCAUUAACUGACUCUUAUAUAUUGUGUUUGUCUAUCAACUUUAUUAGAAAUCUAUGUCCGUUUGUCUAUCAACUUUAUUAGAAAUCUAUGUCCGUCUCGCUUGCUGAAGUCAAUGGUCCUUCCUAUAGCCCAUAAUUGUGAAUUUCUUUGAAAAUGUAAAAUAAUGCAUUUUGGAUGAGUUUUAUCCAAUGUUUUGGAGAUAGUUAAAUUUUUUAGGCGGUUUCUAACUAAUAUGCUCAUGAGUUGGAAGUGUAAAGUGAGUUAAUUAAUUCUGAAGAUAUAUAAAUAUGAAUUGCUUUUUAGUCGUGUUAUCAUUAUAGUAAUGAAAUAUAAUUUUGAAUGCGAAAAAUUCUAUAAUAUCUUAAAAUUUUAAUUUUUUAUUUGAACAAAUACUUAAUUGUUGACAAUUACA